rnacentral:rRNA from 1 species
UACGGAAGGCAGCAGUGGGGAAUAUUGCACAAUGGGCGAAAGCCUGAUGCAGCUAUGCCGCGUGUAUGAAGAAGGCCUUAGGGUUGUAAAGUACUUUCAUCGGGGAGGAAAAAACAAAACUAAUAAUUUUAUUUCUUGACGUUACCCGAAAAAGAAGCACCGGCUAACUCCGUGCCAGCAGCCGCGGUAAUACGGAGGGUGCUAGCGUUAAUCAGAAUUACUGGGCGUAAAGAGCACGUAGGUGGUUUUUUUAAAGUCAGAUGUGAAAUCCCUGGGCUUUAACCUAGGAACUGCAUUUUGAAACUGAAAUACUAGAGUAUCGUAGAGGGAGGUAGAAUUCUAGGUGUAGCGGUGAAAUGCGUAGAUAUCUGGAGGAAUACCUGUGGCGAAAAGCGGCCUCCUAAAACGAAUAACUGACACUGAGGGUGCGAAAAGCGUGGGGAGCAAAACAGGAUUAGAUACC